rnacentral:rRNA from 1 species
GACGAACGCUGGCGGCGUGCUUAACACAUGCAAGUCGAACGGAAAGGCCCUGCUUUUGUUGGGUGCUCGAGUGGCGAACGGGUGAGUAACACGUGAGUAACCUGCCCUUGACUUUGGGAUAACUUCAGGAAACUGGGGCUACUACCGGAUAGGAGCUCCUGCUGCAUGGUGGGGGUUGGAAAGUUUCGGCGGUUGGGGAUGGACUCGCGGCUUAUCAGCUUGUUGGUGGGGUAGUGGCUUACCAAGGCUUUGACGGGUAGCCGGCCUGAGAGGUUGACCGGCGACAUGGGGACUGAGAUAGGGCCCAGACGGGUACGGGAGGCAGCAGUGGGGAAUAUUGCACAAUGAGCGGAAGCCUGAUGCAGCAGCGCUGCGUGCGGGAUGACCGCCUUCGAGUUGUAAACCGCUUUCGCCUGUGAUGAAGCGUGAAUGACGGUAAUGGAAAAAGAAGCACCGGCUAACUACGUG